rnacentral:miRNA from 1 species
GACGUCGAUAUUCGACGCCAUAAACACGAUCAAAUUUGGUGUUUAUGACGUCGAUAUUUGACGUCAUAAACACGAUCAACUUUGGUGUUUAUGACGUCGAUAUUCGACGUCAUAAAAACGAUCAACUUUGGUGUUUAUGACGUCGAUAUUCGACGUCAUAAACACGAACAACUUUGGUGUUUAUGACGUCGAUAUUCGACGUCAUAAACACGAACAACUUUGGUGUUUAUGACGUCGAUAUUCGACGUC